rnacentral:rRNA from 1 species
AGAGUUUGAUCAUGGCUCAGAUUGAACGCUGGCGGUAUGCUUAACACAUGCAAGUCGAACGGUAACAGGCCUUCGGGGCGCUGACGAGUAGCGGACGGGUGAGUAACGCGUAGGAAUCUGCCUCAUAGUGGGGGACAACGUGGGGAAACUCACGCUAAUACCGCAUACGCCCUACGGGGGAAAGCGGGGGAUCUUCGGACCUCGCGCUAUGAGAUGAGCCUGCGUUAGAUUAGCUAGUUGGUAGGGUAAAGGCCUACCAAGGCGACGAUCUAUAGCUGGUCUGAGAGGACGAUCAGCCACACUGGGACUGAGACACGGCCCAGACUCCUACGGGAGGCAGCAGUGGGGAAUAUUGGACAAUGGGCGCAAGCCUGAUCCAGCAAUACCGCGUGUGUGAAGAAGGCCUUAGGGUUGUAAAGCACUUUCAAUUGGGAGGAAAACCUGCCGGUCAAUACCCGGUAGCUUGACAUUACCUUUAGAAGAAGCACCGGCUAACUCCGUG